rnacentral:lncRNA from 1 species
AUGUGAUUAUUAAAUGUAAAUACAGUAGUUUCCUAUAGGAAAGGUGUAGGUUGCAGGGAGAAGAGAGUUCCUAUAGUAUUGUAUUGUUUUAGAUAUUUUGUCACAUGCAUAUAUUUGUUAUUUGCAUCAUCUUUUAAAGGAGCAAUGUGGUGGGAUUUUUUUUCUUACACUUCAUUUUUACAGAUCCCAAAUAUUUCAAAACUUUGAAUACUUAUGCUUUUCUCCUUCACCAGACUUCAAGUUCCUUGAGAGUAAGAACCUUACCUGUCUUGUUCAUUUUGGUCUCCGGCACCUAAUGCAAUGCUGGCACCUAUUAUACUCUCAAAAAAAUAUGUGUGAAAUGAAUGAUGGGUUGUAACAGCCAUCAGCAGCAGUCAAAGGUGAGCACACCCAUGAACUGACAGCAAAGGCAGUCAGGCCUUAAGAAAUGACAGCACUUACCCUGUUUCUUCAGUCCUUCAUCACCAAAAUUAUGACAGAAGCAGCAGCUUAACCAGGAAGAUACACCCAAAUGUCCCACCUCUGCUUCCAUCAGAUGACUCGCUCACUGUCACGGCUUGGAAUAUUCUGCGGGGUCCCCGCUGCUGAUUGCAAUGUUGAGGACACUCUUGUCCUUCAGAAGCAAGAGAAUGAUUCAGUCCUGGCAGACACAGGGCAAAUGCCAUUUGUAGAGACGAGUACAGCUCCUUUCCCAUGGAAGUUUCCAGGGAGAUGCCAGUGUCUUUGCCAUCCAUUCACCCUAAAGGAAAAGGUUUGCUUGAUUGAGGCAAGAAGAUUUGAGCCUUGGGUGGUUGGAGUCUCCUUCUCCCGGUGGCUGGCAUGGACAAUGUCCGUGAGGGAUGAGUGCAUGAAGGCUCUAGCAAAAUAAUGAGUUUGAGGAAAAAUUAGCCUGAAAAAAAGUCACUUUGUUCUCAAAUGUCUAGUGAUAUUUAUAAAAGUUGUGGGUUAAAUUUCACUUCACUGACUUUGUCCUUUUCUUCGACAAACUAGAUAAGAUGAUUUCAUUUUAAAUAAUCCCUCAUAUUUAGGUAUUUCACUAGCAGUUUUGUAUUACAAUUUAAAAAUAGACUAGCCUAUGCCUAUACUCCUGUUGGCUAUGGUAUUUUGAACUUGAUUUCUGAGGCUGCUGACAGCUUUUGAAAGAUUUAACAACUGGCAGCAAGAAAAACUCUCAUAGAAUCUGUUCUAUGAAAUUCUUCCUCCUGGAAAAAAAAGGGGGAGGGCAUCAUUUAGCAGGUAAUAUAUUGCAAUAAAAAUAUGGUUAUGCAAUAAUGGUUCAUUAAUAUGAUAAAUCAUAAUAUAACCUUUUCUAUUAAAUGAAAAAGGCAAUUUUUGAAAUGAAGACAUUUUCUUUCCUAUGGCACAUUUCCAUAGUUGGUUUGAAAGGAUUUUUUUUAAUUUUUAUUCAAAACAGUCAUUUUGAUUUGCAUGGGAGAUAACAGUUGUUCAUGACAUUUUUAUUUCUUCAUAAACAGAUUUCCAUUUUGGCGAAGGUUAAUACAGUAGGAAUUUGUUUUUACUUUUGGAUAUACUGCAAUACCACUAGAGCACUUUGUUCGGGACAGAACGGCUAAUUUAUCCUUUAUGCCUUUACGAUCUUGUCAGAGCCGCAUGUCUCCCUUAGUUUUUCUAAUCUAAAAUAAUCCCAGUGAAAUCCUUUGAUUGUCCGUUUGGACCUGCUCCAUUCCUAAAGCAGGAAUAUAAUGGGCUUUAUGGCACUUACUUGGGAGUCAUUUAUCCAGCAGAAUGACUAUAGAUACUUGUUUUAAUAAGAAUAUGCUUUAUGGUAAGUGGGGACUGCUAUUUAAUUAGCCAAAGGGAAAGUAGUUCAUGAUACAAUCUGUUCCAAUCAUCUUGGACAUUAAACAAAAAGUCAGGCUAAGUUAUUUAUGUACAUGCACUUUAUUUGUAGUUGCUUUGAGCAAACCUCUUCUCUGAAACUUUAUAGCAUUUUCAGAGUGAACUGCAUUGUAGGAGGAGGAAUCGGGGAAGAAAAGGACAUGAGAGCAUCCUAUAAAAUUUUUGAAAAAGAAACAGAAGGUUUACUUAUUGCUAUCAAGGUUGUGAAUACAGGCAUGCCAAAUGGAAAACAGGCAGAGAACUAUGAUUUAUCCUCUGCUAUUUGGUAGUUUGCAUCUUUAGUGCACAGCUGAUGGAAGAAUGUUGCAGAAUGUCAGUAAGAUAUGAGAUUGUGUGUGUGUGUGUGUGUGUUCCUGUGUAUUUUGCUUGGAUUUCCAUUGCCUUCAUAGCUAUAGUCCUAUAUUUUUUCUUAUCAAUAAAAUAAAUUUAAAAUGUUCAAUGCAUAGCCAAUAGUUUUUAAUUCUCAGAACAAAAUGAAGCACAUGGGCACACUUUUAAAACAUCUUUCUUUCCUAUGAAAUCUAUAAUGAUGGUAUAAUAGAGGUAAGUACUAUUAAUUUCUAAUUGGCCAAUAUUUUGGACAAAUAAGUAAUGUUCUCAUGAAUGGAUGAAAUGAAAAGGGAAAAAAAAGGAAUCAAAAUAUGACAUUCUCUCCCUCUCAAGUUCUGGUUAGCUGAGUAGUAAACAUACCUGUUCUCCUUUCCUAGGUGUAAGCUUCUCAGAGUCACCUACUAUAAACAUGAAGAGCCAAGGAGCUGAAAUCUGAACACAAAUGUGACUCCACUACACUUGACUCUCAUGGCCUUAGGAAACAUCACCUAAGCAAGCUUGGUCUAUUUCCCUCUGUGCCUUCACUUCACAGUCCUACAGAGAGGAUGGCAUGAGCUAAUAUUUGUGAGCGCCCUUUGUACAGUGAAUGUCUAAUGCAAGUUAGCACUUGCUUGUAAAACUCCUCAAGCAAAAGGUUUGGGUUAGAAUCAUGUUUGCACAUCCUUGCACAGGGACCUGAACACGGUCCAGGCUCGCCAAAUGGCAUCUAGGGAAAUUGAUCUGUGCCCGCACUUCCCUCCUGGCCUGUAGCAUUCAGCUCUUAUUCCUUAUGCCUCCAUUAUUCUGUCUCUAGCACUUAUCUUGCUCUUUUCAAAAUGACCUUAGAAACUCAAAUUCAAACUAAAGAGCUUUAAGUUAUGCAGUUUUGUCUCCACCAUCUAAGUAACAAAAGCAUGCUCUUUUCUCAAUUGACCUACCUCUCAGUAACGGCACAAAAACAGGGUGCAUGGACUAGAGCCACAAAGAGAACACUGCAGGUGAAGGACUCCAAAUGGCCAUCCAAGGGUCAAUGUUAAAUGCUUUCCUGUGCUCCAUUGUGUAAUUUUCACAUAAUUUUCAUUUUGCACUUAGUUUCCUUUGCCAUCAGCAAGUUUUCUCCCUCUCCCUUCUGUCUGUCUGGGGAAAUCUUUUAAGCUGCCUGUUUUAAGCAAAAGCCCCAAGGAUGUUGCAUAUUAAGUCAUAUCCUAGACCGCUUGGGGAGAUCAUGAAAGGUUUUGGAGUCAUUACUGCUAACAAUUGACUGCCACACAGUCCUGGUCAUCGGGGAAACAUAGACGGUGCAAUCAGCCUAUGAAGUGAAAGCCAAGCUGACCUGUGUUUAGUACUUUUAACAUAAAGAGACAGAAAAGGAAAUACUAAAGACCGAACUUUCCUUCAACUCUGUGGUCUCACCCAUCCCUCGGUGACUUGGAAAUUUUUCUGACAUGAGACAGUGUGCAGAGACAGCUAGCCACUCCCCUUCCUCCUCCUGACCAUGUGUAAACAGCUGGUGCUGCAAUCCCCUGGCUGGAGGGAAGCGAAUGUAGACUGAUGUUAAACAAACAUAGGCCAAUAUCAGGAACUCAGAAAAUAUUAUAUAUACAAUGUGAUCAAGAGCCCUGCAUGGUUCAUGAUCUUUCAGGUAUUAAGUGUCAAAGGUUGGGGUAUCAGAGCCAAUACGUUUGUAAAGGCUGUAUAUCUUUUUCUUUUUUUCUUUGGGGGGAUUCUUCUGGUUUUUUUGCUAUAGUUUUCUUAGCGUGGCAUCAUAAGAUUGUAUAAAAUCUCAAUUACCAUAAUGCCAUUUUUUCAAUCCAUUUUGGUUGAUUUUAACUCUCAAAUUUAAUUCACCAGCAACAGUCAUGUUAUUAGGGGGAACAUGACAAAUCAAUGAGACAUUAUUUUUCCCUCAGCCCACGUUUGUGACUCAUUGACACUAAUGUGAGGGUGGGGAUGGGACAGUGAGCUCAGCUUGUUAAGGAUACGUUCCUCAAGGCCAGGUGCAUGGCCUUCGAGGCUCUUGGCUAUUUAAUCAAAACCUCAGACACACAAUUAAGAGCUAAAUGUAGUUUGCCUGAUUCAUCAAGUGACAUUUACAAAAUGAAUCUGAGUGGCACCCAUUCACACUGUCCUUGUCUUCCAGGACAGUGUCAGACACUGAGACCGAGGAAGGCAGUCAUCUUCAUCUUGUGAUAUGGUAGCUAUUUGCUCAAUCCAUGGGCAAAAUGGAAUGAGAAUUGUAAAAUGAAACUGAAAAUGAGCCAACAAAGCACACCUGGAAUGAAUUUGAUGGGCUGAUUUCCUUUUUAUCAUUGGUUUUUAACUGCUGAAAGCUCUAGAAUCCAUAGGUCUAAGAAGAAUAGACAUCUAUCUCUACAUCAGGAUUUAUGGCAUUCUAGUCACCCUUAUGGUGUUGGAUAGCUUACUUUUGUCUUCUACACCAGACUGCAUGUUACUUGUGGGCAGAUCUUCUGUCUUAUUUCUCCUUUGAUCCCUGCAUCUUGUACCAUUUCUACAGUGUACUCAGUAACUGUUUCACGUGGGUGAAUAGUGAAUGAAUGAAUCAACACAGCUCCUUGAGCAGUUGAAGCCAUGGGAACUAACUCAGAGUUGUUCUUUCUCUAUUUCUGAGGUCACUUCACACCCCAGAUGAUGAUCUUUCUCCUACAAAUAAGCUUACCAAAAACCUUUAUAAUCAUAUUCAAAAUGGAGUUCAACCUGAAAAUGUAGCCUUAAAUGAUUAUUUCCAUGUAUCUGAG